GAUGAACGCUGGCGGCGUGCCUAAUACAUGCAAGUCGAGCGAACAGACGAGGAGCUUGCUCCUCUGACGUUAGCGGCGGACGGGUGAGUAACACGUGGAUAACCUACCUAUAAGACUGGGAUAACUUCGGGAAACCGGAGCUAAUACCGGAUAAUAUAUUGAACCGCAUGGUUCAAUAGUGAAAGACGGUUUUGCCGUCACUUAUAGAUGGAUCCGCGCCGCAUUAGCUAGUUGGUAAGGUAACGGCUUACCAAGGCAACGAUGCGUAGCCGACCUGAGAGGGUGAUCGGCCACACUGGAACUGAGACACGGUCCAGACUCCUACGGGAGGCAGCAGUAGGGAAUCUUCCGCAAUGGGCGAAAGCUUGACGGAGCAAAGCCGCGUGAGUGAUGAAGGUCUUCGGAUCGUAAAACUCUGUUAUUAGGGAAGAACAAAUGUGUAAGUAACUAUGCACGUCUUGACGGUACCUAAUCAGAAAGCCACGGCUAACUACGUG
rnacentral:rRNA from 1 species